rnacentral:tRNA from 2 species
GGCGCUGUGGAGCUGGAAGAACGACGACGAAACCUUCGGUGCGUUGAUCUCCGCCACGCAUGACAAGCAGGACCUGGCACGCGCGGGUAUCGAAUACUUCGGCUACACCACCGGCGCCAACAUUCCCGCCAGCGCCACCA